UCUCGGCUUAUCACCGGCAGUCCCCCUAGAGUGCCCAACUGAAUGAUGGCAACUAAGGGCGAGGGUUGCGCUCGUUGCGGGACUUAACCCAACAUCUCACGACACGAGCUGAUGACAGCCAUGCACCACCUGCACACAGGCCACAAGGGAAUACCUAUCUCUAGGCACGUCCUGUGCAUGUCAAACCCAGGUAAGGUUCUUCGCGUUGCAUCGAAUUAAACCACAUGCUCCACCGCUUGUGCGGGUCCCCGUCAAUUCCUUUGAGUUUUAAUCUUGCGACCGUACUCCCCAGGCGGACAACUUCACGCGUUAGCUGCGGUACUGAGAAAUCGCUUCCCCAACACCUAGUUGUCAUCGUUUAGGGCGUGGACUAC
rnacentral:misc_RNA from 1 species